GGUUAUAUUCAUUGUUCUAGAAAAAUAUUUACAUUGUUGUCCCAAAGUUAUUCAACAACUACAAACACACCCCUCAUCUAUCAAACUUACAUCAUUAUCCACAUCCAGAACCACACUUACAACUCGGUCCUAAACAAUUAUCACUGAGUCAACUCACGUCAUCGAUUACUCAAUUCCGAUCACCGUCGCAGAACUCAGAUCAAGACUUUAACUCGGACCCCAGCAGUUCAAGUACAUGACUUGCCGGAGAGUAUCAUCCGACUGAUCCCUCCUCUCUUCUCCGCCGCCCCGGAUGCCGGAAAGUGGCCGGAAGUCAGCCGGGUCGGCGCCGGAAACUGAGGAAGUGAAGGCCUUUUUGCCUUGCUGAAUGGACUUGAUUCCGGACUUAAGUUUGUGGCCUUGAUCAGUGUGGCCGUUAGCGACGGCUACACCGGCUGUCAUGAAUACACGGCUUAAGUAACUCAUGUUUGUUGGAGGUGUAGCGGUGGGUAUGACAUAA
rnacentral:lncRNA from 1 species